GUAGGCAGCAUUCCUUGAUACAGAUGGGAUAGAAGCUCUUCAUGUUCCCAGGCCUAAAAUUACACAUGGGUGUAGCAGAAUUCUAUGUUAGAGAACCUGAGAGCACUGCUUAGUUUAAGGUGCCUGACACAGCUGUAUCCUUGUUUCUUCUCAAAGGAAGCCCCAGAAUUUGUGCCAGAUGCUGUAGGAGACUGAUGUGCCAAGACCCCAGUUUGUGCUGUGAUGAGCAACCAGCAGUGAAAACAGAUGCAGCCCAAGAGCAAAUGUAACCAAAGAGCUAGCUUAUGGAUCACAGGCGACGGCUGAAGUCUGGAGACCGAAAAUUGGAUUCUUGGCUGUACUGGUGGAUGCUCUGUGUGCUACUUCAGGCACUAAAACAUCUUGACCUUUUAUCUGGAACAAUUAAAUAGAGUUUUGCUUAAGUGGCACAUCUGCUGUUCAAGCUGGGACUUGCUUGCAUGAAGACUGCCAUUCCCAGUUCAGAAGACAUUUGCUUAUCCAACCAAAUUAGAACUCCAGUUUCCUUUUUACAAACAUCUGUUUGGAGGCAGGAAAAUCUCUCUGGAUGUGAAGCUUCAGAAAGCAGCUUCAGAAAUUUUCAUGCAGUGUUGAACUUGUGAUCAUUGGCCAAAUUCAUCUCUGAAAUUCUGCAAGCCCAACAAUAUUACUUCCUGAGUCAAGUGCUGCUUGGUUCUAGGAAAUCCUUGAAUGACUGUCACAAAUUAAAGAAAGGAAACCAGAUGCUACAAACAAGCAAACUUUGAACAUCAAGAAUGAUGUAAGAUGUAAGGAUUCCUAAUGAAAUUAAAGAACAGAAGAUUGCAGAUUAAAAAACUACAGGGAACUGAUCUCAAAACUUAGCACCCAAAGCUGCUGUACCAGAACAGGGUAUGCAGGAACUGAUGGCUGAUUUCACUUCACAUUCACCAGCUGGCAACCAACACUUAGCAAAUCUAAUUCAAAAAGUAAGGUAAGAACACUCAUAUAAGGAGCCUUCUCACACUUGUCAGAAAUGUGAGCACUUUGUAAUGUGAGUGCAGAAGUGGGUCAGAAA